rnacentral:rRNA from 1 species
UGGGGAAUAUUGGACAAUGGGCGAAAGCCUGAUCCAGCAAUGCCGCGUGAGUGAUGAAGGCCUUAGGGUUGUAAAGCUCUUUUACCCGGGAUGAUAAUGACAGUACCGGGAGAAUAAGCUCCGGCUAACUCCGUGCCAGCAGCCGCGGUAAUACGGAGGGAGCUAGCGUUGUUCGGAAUUACUGGGCGUAAAGCGCACGUAGGCGGCUUCUCAAGUCAGAGGUGAAAGCCUGGAGCUCAACUCCAGAACUGCCUUUGAAACUAGGAAGCUUGAAUCCGGGAGAGGUGAGUGGAAUUCCGAGUGUAGAGGUGAAAUUCGUAGAUAUUCGGAAGAACACCAGUGGCGAAGGCGGCUCACUGGACCGGCAUUGACGCUGAGGUGCGAAAGCGUGGGGAGCAAA